AUCAAUUGCAGUUAUAAAUUUUUAUGUCUAACAUUUGAUCGCUUGUCUUAUUAAACUUUUUUAUAAUUAGUAUUUUAAUUGUUAUUAGAUGAUAAAAUAUAAAUAAUACUUUAUGCUCAACUUAUUUUUAAAUUUUUUUUAAUAAAAUUUUUAAAUAAGACGGAUGGUUAAAUGUUGGGUACGGAAAAUCAGAACCACACGAGAA
rfam:Oryza glumipatula chromosome 2, whole genome shotgun sequence.